GAGGAUGCGAGCGUUAUCCGGAUUUAUUGGGUUUAAAGGGUGCGUAGGCGGACAGUUAAGUCAGCGGUAAAAGCCCGGGGCUCAACCCCGGCGAGCCGUUGAAACUGGCAGUCUUGAGUAGGACAGAAGUAUGCGGAAUGCGCCGUGUAGAGGUGAAAUUCAUAGAUAUGGCGCAGAACACCGAUUGCGAAGGCAGCAUACCGGGUCCUGACUGACGCUGAGGCACGAAAGCGUGGGUAGCGAA
rnacentral:rRNA from 1 species